CGGACAGUUGUCGACGAACUACAAUUUAGAGGACCUCGAUGAUGAGUCGGUGGCGUACGUCAACAGACUCUUUGCUGAGAGGUACAAGCAAUGGAAGAGCGACCUGCACCACCAUUUUCAGUCAUUUGAUGAUCCGCAGGUCGCUCUUCAGGAAGGGUGGGAGGAUAGCUGGGCAUGGCUCUGUGGUCAUUUUUAGGAGUCUAUUAGAAGGCGGCGAAAGCAAAUAAGGGCAAUAGGAACAAGAAGACGCUUCUCCACCAUUCAGGUUCCAGGCCAUUCUCAUAUAGGAUGGAGGCGCGGC